rnacentral:rRNA from 1 species
AUCGAACGCUGGCGGCAGGCCUAACACAUGCAAGUCGAACGAUUCGCGGACGGGUGAGUAAUGUCUGGGAAACUGCCUGAUGGAGGGGGCUAAAUACUGGACACGGUAGCUAAUACCGCAUACCUUCGGUUUUGCCCAGAUGUGAGUAGUUAGUAGGUGGGGUAACGGCUCACCUAGGCGACGAACCCUAGCUGGUCUGAGAGGAUGACCAGCCACACUGGAACUGAGACACGGUCCAGACUCCUACGGUAGGCAGAAGUGGGGAAUAUUGCACAAUGGGCGCAAGCCUGAGUCAGCCAUGCCGCGGGUGUGAAGAAGGCCUUCGGGUUUUAAAAUACUUUCGGCGUGGAGGCGUUACCCGCAGAAGAAGCACCGGCUAACUCCGUGCCAGCAGCCGCGGUAAUAC